UAGGGAAUCUUCGGCAAUGGACGAAAGUCUGACCGAGCAACGCCGCGUGAGCGAAGAAGGCCUUCGGGGUCGUAAAGCUCUGUUGUUAGAGAAGAACAUGGGUGAGAGUAACUGUUCACCCCUUGACGGUAUCUAACCAGAAAGCCACGGCUAACUACGUGCCAGCAGCCGCGGUAAUACGUAGGUGGCAAGCGUUGUCCGGAAUUAUUGGGCGUAAAGCGCGCGCAGGCGGUCUCUUAAGUCUGAUGUGAAAGCCCCCGGCUCAACCGGGGAGGGUCAUUGGAAACUGGGAGACUUGAGGACAGAAGAGGAGAGUGGAAUUCCAAGUGUAGCGGUGAAAUGCGUAGAUAUUUGGAGGAACACCAGUGGCGAAGGCGGCUCUCUGGUCUGUUACUGACGCUGAGUCGCGAAAGCGUGGGGAGCAAACAG
rnacentral:rRNA from 1 species